rnacentral:antisense_RNA from 1 species
CUUCAACGAGCCGAGCAGCAGGGGGCGUCCGGGCUCGCGCUGUUGUCCGUAGGUGGCCAGGAUCGCCUGGGCCUC